AGACUGUCCACCUGCAGGUGGAAGAAAAUCAAGGCAGCAGAAAGAGGAUCUGAGUCCUCUCCAGAACACCCACUUUCCUUACAUCUAAGAGGAUUUGUGAUUUGCUUGCAACUAAAAAAAAUAAAAUAAAAUAAAAAAGAGGAGUACUAUUACCCCUUUCUAUGCUCGUUAGCUCUGCCAUGGUAAAACACAUUCAUCAUGUUAGCACCUGCUCUUAAAUUAAGCUGCACAGUGGAAUAUGACAUUUGUAGAGUCUAUAAUGAUCUCCUUAUCUUCUUCACUGAGAGCCAGUUUAGGUUGCAAUCUUCUAACUUACAUGUGUUCUGAAGGUGUGGCCCAUCUUCCCUAGACAAACAUGGCAACCACUCCUCAAAAAGGCUUCUCUUUACAGCAAAUGGAGAGCAUCACAGAAAACAACUGUACAUAAGGCAGAGAUCGAUCGUGGGGAGCCCAGCCCCAACAUAUAUAUCUACAUCUUUAUCACAGCUCCUCCAUCAGGGAAUAUCACUUAAGGGGAAUGGAAAGAUUUAAAAAGCCAGAAUAUCAGGAAGUCAGCCAUAAAACAGUCUCUCCUGGAAAUGGCUACAUAAACAAGAUCGAAACACAAUGGGCAAGUUAACGUGGGACAGGGAAAUCUAGCAACAUUUCACCCCUAGACAAAGAACUACAGGGAACUUAAAUGCUGUAAGAAGGAGAAUCAUCAUCCUCUCCCUUACUGGUUGUCCAAUGCAGACUGGUCAGCCUUGAAACCAUAUACAUAAAAGCAGUAAAAGUGG
rnacentral:lncRNA from 1 species